rnacentral:rRNA from 1 species
AUUGAACGCUGGCGGCAGGCUUAACACAUGCAAGUCGAGCGGAGCGAGGGUGCUUGCACCUUAGCUUAGCGGCGGACGGGUGAGUAAUGCUUAGGAAUCUGCCUAUUAGUGGGGGACAACAUUCCGAAAGGAAUGCUAAUACCGCAUACGCCCUACGGGGGAAAGCAGGGGAUCUUCGGACCUUGCGCUAAUAGAUGAGCCUAAGUCGGAUUAGCUAGUUGGUGGGGUAAAGGCCUACCAAGGCGACGAUCUGUAGCGGGUCUGAGGGGAUGAUCCGCCACACUGGGACUGAGACACGGCCCAGACUCCUACGGGAGGCAGCAGUGGGGAAUAUUGGACAAUGGGCGGAAGCCUGAUCCAGCCAUGCCGCGUGUGUGAAGAAGGCCUUUUGGUUGUAAAGCACUUUAAGCGAGGAGGAGGCUACUUAGAUUAAUACUCUGGGAUAGUGGACGUUACUCGCAGAAUAAGCACCGGCUAACUCUGUGCCAGCCGCCGCCGUAA